GAUGAACGCUGGCGGCGUGCCUAAUACAUGCAAGUCGAGCGAACGGACGAGAAGCUUGCUUCUCUGAUGUUAGCGGCGGACGGGUGAGUAACACGUGGAUAACCUACCUAUAAGACUGGGAUAACUUCGGGAAACCGGAGCUAAUACCGGAUAAUAUUUUGAACCGCAUGGUUCAAAAGUGAAAGACGGUCUUGCUGUCACUUAUAGAUGGAUCCGCGCUGCAUUAGCUAGUUGGUAAGGUAACGGCUUACCAAGGCAACGAUGCAUAGCCGACCUGAGAGGGUGAUCGGCCACACUGGAACUGAGACACAGUCCAGACUCCUACGGGAGGCAGCAGUAGGGAAUCUUCCGCAAUGGGCGAAAGCCUGACGGAGCAACGCCGCGUGAGUGAUGAAGGUCUUCGGAUCGUAAAACUCUGUUAUUAGGGAAGAACAUAUGUGUAAGUAACUGUGCACAUCUUGACGGUACCUAAUCAGAAAGCCACGGCUAACUACGUGCCAGCAGCCGCGGUAAUACGUAGGUGGCAAGCGUUAUCCGGAAUUAUUGGGCGUAAAGCGCGCGUAGGCGGUUUUUUAAGUCUGAUGUGAAAGCCCACGGCUCAACCGUGGAGGGUCAUUGGAAACUGGAAAACUUGAGUGCAGAAGAGGAAAGUGGAAUUCCAUGUGUAGCGGUGAAAUGCGCAGAGAUAUGGAGGAACACCAGUGGCGAAGGCGACUUUCUGGUCUGUAACUGACGCUGAUGUGCGAAAGCGUGGGGAUCAAACAGGAUUAGAUACCCUGGUAGUCCACGCCGUAAACGAUGAGUGCUAAGUGUUAGGGGGUUUCCGCCCCUUAGUGCUGCAGCUAACGCAUUAAGCACUCCGCCUGGGGAGUACGACCGCAAGGUUGAAACUCAAAGGAAUUGACGGGGACCCGCACAAGCGGUGGAGCAUGUGGUUUAAUUCGAAGCAACGCGAAGAACCUUACCAAAUCUUGACAUCCUUUGACAACUCUAGAGAUAGAGCCUUCCCCUUCGGGGGACAAAGUGACAGGUGGUGCAUGGUUGUCGUCAGCUCGUGUCGUGAGAUGUUGGGUUAAGUCCCGCAACGAGCGCAACCCUUAAGCUUAGUUGCCAUCAUUAAGUUGGGCACUCUAAGUUGACUGCCGGUGACAAACCGGAGGAAGGUGGGGAUGACGUCAAGUCAUCAUGCCCCUUAUGAUUUGGGCUACACACGUGCUACAAUGGACAAUACAAAGGGCAGCGAAACCGCGAGGUCAAGCAAAUCCCAUAAAGUUGUUCUCAGUUCGGAUUGUAGUCUGCAACUCGACUACAUGAAGCUGGAAUCGCUAGUAAUCGUAGAUCAGCAUGCUACGGUGAACACGUUCCCGGGUCU
rnacentral:rRNA from 1 species